UACGGAGGGUGCAAGCGUUAAUCGGAAUUACUGGGCGUAAAGCGUGCGCAGGCGGUUUUGUAAGUCUGUCGUGAAAGCCCCGGGCUCAACCUGGGAAUUGCGAUGGAGACUGCAAGGCUUGAAUCUGGCAGAGGGGGGUAGAAUUCCACGUGUAGCAGUGAAAUGCGUAGAGAUGUGGAGGAAAACCGAUGGCGCAGGCAGGCCCCUGGGUCAAGAUUGACGGUCAUGCACGAAAGCGUGGGGAGCAAACAGG
rnacentral:rRNA from 1 species